AUUGAACGCUGGCGGCAGGCCUAACACAUGCAAGUCGAACGAGUGGCGGACGGGUGAGUAAUGUCUGGGAAACUGCCCGAUGGAGGGGGAUAACUACUGGAAACGGUAGCUAAUACCGCAUACCAUCGGAUGUGCCCAGAUGGGAUUAGCUAGUAGGUGGGGUAAAGGCUCACCUAGGCGACGAUCCCUAGCUGGUCUGAGAGGAUGACCAGCCACACGGGAACUGAGAAACGGUCCAGACUCCUACGGGAGGAAGCAGUGGGGAAUAUUGCACAAUGGGCGCAAGCCUGAUGCAGCCAUGCCGCGUGUAUGAAGAAGGCCUUCGGGUUGUAAAGUACUUUCAGCGGGGAGGCGUUACUCGCAGAAGAAGCACCGGCUAACUCCGUGCCAGCAGCCGCGGUAAUUC
rnacentral:rRNA from 1 species